GCUGAUGUAAAUAUUUCACACACAAAAAAAU
rnacentral:piRNA from 1 species